UACGAAGGGAGCUAGCGUUGUUCGGAAUGACUGGGCGUAAAGGGCGUGUAGGCGGUCUUGUGCGUCAGAUGUGAAAUCCCUGGGCUUAACCUAGGAAUGGCAUUUGAUACGGCAAGACUAGAGAUGGAUAGAGAAUCGUGGAAUUGCGAGUGUAGAGGUGAAAUUCGUAGAUAUUCGCAGGAACACCAGUGGCGAAGGCGGCGAUCUGGGUCCAUACUGACGCUGAGGCGCGAAAGCGUGGGGAGCAAACAGG
rnacentral:rRNA from 1 species